AUGGAGAAUACGUGAGUAAAUAGAGAGUUUUAUGGUUUCAAGUCUUACAUUUAAGUCUGUAAUCCAUUUCAAGGUAAUUUUUGUGAGUGUUGUAAGAAUUAAAGAUGUUUUUAGCCCAGCUGAUGCAACUGUUGCCGGCAUCCAGCACUCAGCUGUCAACCCUUAAUAGAGAUUACCACCAUCAUGCUUCAGGAUUGCCUCAACUAAAGAUUAUCA